rnacentral:rRNA from 1 species
UACGGAGGAUCCAAGCGUUAUCCGGAAUUAUUGGGUUUAAAGGGUCCGCAGGCUGUUUGUUAAGUCAGGGGUGAAAUCCUACCGCUCAACGGUAGAACUGCCUUUGAUACUGAUAGUCUUGAAUUGUAGUGAAGUGGUUAGAAUAUGUGGUGUAGCGGUGAAAUGCAUAGAUAUCACAUAGAAUACCGAUUGCGAAGGCAGAUCACUAACUAUAUAUUGACGCUGAGGGACGAAAGCGUGGGUAGCGAACGGG